rnacentral:rRNA from 1 species
UACGUAGGGGGCAAGCGUUAUCCGGAUUUACUGGGCGUAAAGGGAGCGUAGACGGCCAGACAAGUCUGAAGUGAAAAUCCAGCGCUUAACGUUGGAAGUGCUUUGGAAACUGCCGGGCUGGAGUGCAGGAGGGGCAGGCGGAAUUCCUAGUGUAGCGGUGAAAUGCGUAGAUAUUAGGAGGAACACCAGUGGCGAAGGCGGCCUGCUGGACAGUAACUGACGUUGAGGCUCGAAAGCGUGGGGAGCAAACAGG